AGCGAACGCUGGCGGCAGGCUUAACACAUGCAAGUCGAGCGGGCACUUCGGUGUCAGCGGCAGACGGGUGAGUGACACGUGGGAACGUACCCUUCGGUUCGGAAUAACGCUGGGAAACUAGCGCUAAUACCGGAUACGCCCUUUUGGGGAAAGGUUUACUGCCGAAGGAUCGGCCCGCGUCUGAUUAGCUAGUUGGUGGGGUAAUGGCCUACCAAGGCGACGAUCAGUAGCUGGUCUGAGAGGAUGAUCAGCCACACUGGGACUGAGACACGGCCCAGACUCCUACGGGAGGCAGCAGUGGGGAAUAUUGGACAAUGGGCGCAAGCCUGAUCCAGCCAUGCCGCGUGAGUGAUGAAGGCCUUAGGGUUGUAAAGCUCUUUUGUCCGGGACGAUAAUGACGGUACCGGAAGAAUAAGCCCCGGCUAACUUCGUG
rnacentral:rRNA from 1 species